rnacentral:rRNA from 1 species
UACGUAGGCAGCAAGCGUUGUUCGGAGUUACUGGGCGUAAAGAGUGUGUAGGCGGUUCUUUAAGUUUGGUGUGAAAUCUCCCGGCUUAACUGGGAGGGUGCGCCGAAAACUGGAGGGCUUGAGUAUGGGAGAGGAAAGCGGAAUUCCUGGUGUAGCGGUGAAAUGCGUAGAUAUCAGGAGGAACACCUGUGGUGUAGACGGCUUUCUGGACCAUCACUGACGCUGAGACACGAAAGCGUGGGGAGCAAACAGG